GGGCAAGUAUGCAUAGCGGCGAUUGCAGCGGACUGUAAAUCCGCCACCCUUGCGGUAAACAUCGUAGGUUCAAUUCCUACCUUUCCCA
rnacentral:tRNA from 1 species